UAUCUCUGUAGAGUCUGCAUAUCAAUAAGCGGAGGAAAAGAAACUAACUAGGAUUCCCUCAGUAACGGCGAGUGAAGCGGGAAGAGCUCAAAUUUGAAAUCUUAAGGUUCUACCUUGACGAAUUGUAGUUUAAAGAAGUGUUUUCUGUUGGAGUUUUGGUAAAAGUUCUUUGGAAUAGGACAUCAUAGAGGGUGAGAAUCCCGUAUUUGACCAUUAUUUCCAGCUUUGUGAUACACUUUCAAAGAGUCGGAUUGUUUGGGAAUGCAGUCCAAAAUGGGUGGUAAAUUUCAUCUAAAGCUAAAUAUCGGCGAGAGACCGAUAGCGAACAAGUACCGUGAGGGAAAGAUGAAAAGAACUUUGAAAAGAGAGUUAAACAGUACGUGAAAUUGUCAAAAGGGAAGCGUUUGACACCAGUGUUGUUUUCUCGAAAAUCAAUUAAAAAAGGCAGGAUUUUGUGUUGCUAUUGACUUUAUCAGCUUUCUGCACUCUUUUCUUGUCUUUUUUAAUGCACUUUUCGUUUAACAAGUCAACAUCAAUUUCUUUUGUUGUAAAAGGGUCAUUGGAAGGUGGCUUUCUUUUCGGAGAAAGUGUUUAUAGCCUUUGGCCUCUGCAAUCGGAGAGAUUGAGGUCUGCAGCGUAGAUCCUUCGGGGUUAGAUACAUUUGUGCUAAGUUAUAGCCUUUCAUAGACAACUUGUUGACUAUGAUCAGUCAUGUAGCUUACUCGCUUAUGCUAUUUUACCUACGCUUAGGAUGUUGAAGUCAUCGUAUCGCGC
rnacentral:rRNA from 1 species